rnacentral:misc_RNA from 1 species
GAAAUGCGAUAAGUAAUGUGAAUUGCAGAAUUCAGUGAAUCAUCGAAUCUUUGAACGCACAUUGCGCCCGCCAGUAUUCUGGCGGGCAUGCCUGUUCGAGCGUCAUUUCAACCAUCAAGCCCCCGGGCUUGUGUUGGGGACCUGCGGCUGCCGCAGGCCCCGAAAACCAGUGGCGGGCUCGCUGUCACACCGGGCGUAGUAGAUUUUUCGUCUCGCCCAGGGCGUGCUGCGGGUUCCGGCCGUUAAAAAGCCUCUCUUUUAACCCAAGGUUGACCUCGGAUCAGGUAGAAAGACGCGCUGAACUUAAGC